AGAGUUUGAUCAUGGCUCAGGACGAACGCUGGCGGCGUGCCUAACACAUGCAAGUCGAGCGAGAUCCAUCCAGUGGCAACACUGGUGAAGAUCUAGCGGCGAACGGGUGAGUAACACGUGAGAAACCUGCCCCGGAGACCGGGAUAACUCGAGGAAACUCGAGCUAAUACCGGAUACCCCCACCGAACCGCAUGAUUUGGUGAGGAAAUGCUCCGACGCUCCGGGAGGGUCUCGCGGCCUAUCAGCUGGUUGGUGAGGUAACGGCUCACCAAGGCUAAGACGGGUAGCUGGUCUGAGAGGACGAUCAGCCACACUGGGACUGAGACACGGCCCAGACUCCUACGGGAGGCAGCAGUGGGGAAUCUUGCGCAAUGGGCGAAAGCCUGACGCAGCAACGCCGCGUGGGGGAUGAAGGCUCUCGGGUUGUAAACCCCUUUCAGGAGGGACGAAAAUGACGGUACCUCCAGAAGAAGCCCCGGCCAACUACGUGCCAGCAGCCGCGGUA
rnacentral:rRNA from 1 species